rnacentral:rRNA from 1 species
GACGAACGCUGGCGGCGUGCUUAACACAUGCAAGUCGAACGCUGAAGCUUGGUGCCUGCACUGGGUGGAUGAGUGGCGAACGGGUGAGUAAUACGUGAGUAACCUGCCCUUGACUCUGGGAUAAGCCUGGGAAACUGGGUCUAAUACUGGAUACGACAUGCCACUGCAUGGUGGUGUGUGGAAAGGGUUUUACUGGUUUUGGAUGGGCUCACGGCCUAUCAGCUUGUUGGUGGGGUAAUGGCCUACCAAGGCGACGACGGGUAGCCGGCCUGAGAGGGUGACCGGCCACACUGGGACUGAGACACGGCCCAGACUCCUACGGGAGGCAGCAGUGGGGAAUAUUGCACAAUGGGCGGAAGCCUGAUGCAGCGACGCCGCGUGAGGGAUGACGGCCUUCGGGUUGUAAACCUCUUUCAGCACGGAAGAAGCGAGAGUGACGGUACGUGCAGAAGAAGCGCCGGCUAACUACGUG